rnacentral:rRNA from 1 species
UCUUCACAAUGGACGAAAGUCUGAUGGAGCAACGCCGCGUGAGUGAAGAAGGUUUUCGGAUCGUAAAACUCUGUUGUUGGAGAAGAAUGUAUCUGAUAGUAACUGAUCAGGUAGUGACGGUAUCCAACCAGAAAGCCACGGCUAACUACGUGCCAGCAGCCGCGGUAAUACGUAGGUGGCAAGCGUUGUCCGGAUUUAUUGGGCGUAAAGCGAGCGCAGGCGGUUUCUUAAGUCUGAUGUGAAAGCCUUCGGCUCAACCGAAGAAGUGCAUCGGAAACUGGGAAACUUGAGUGCAGAAGAGGACAGUGGAACUCCAUGUGUAGCGGUGAAAUGCGUAGAUAUAUGGAAGAACACCAGUGGCGAAGGCGGCUGUCUGGUCUGUAACUGACGCUGAGGCUCGAAAGCAUGGGUAGCAAACAGGAUUAGAUACCCUGGUAGUCCAUGCCGUAAACGAUGAGUGCUAGGUGUUGGAGGGUUUCCGCCCUUCAGUGCCGCAGCUAACGCAUUAAGCACUCCGCCUGGGGAGUACGACCGCAAGGUUGAAACUCAAAGGAAUUGACGGGGCCC